CAAUCAUCGCCUUGGAAGCUUCAUCACGAUACUACUUUGCAUUUCUGAAGAGGGAAGAAGAAAUCAAUAUGCAAAUUCAAUUCCAUGGUUUUGGAAGUCCCAUUGAGAACACGAUUCAUUUGCGCCGGCACAAUGCUCUGACCGAGAAAGAAUUGAAGGGAAAAAGCAAUGAAAGUGCCGUUCAUGUUUUGCACGGCGAGCUGCUGAAUACUAACCGGUCUCACACCAUAACCAUCACCUUGCCCUUGUGAAGGCAGAUAUGGAUAAGGUUCUCAAAGCUGAUUGAAGAUUGAAACCACUCUCGUCCUGUGACGAUGUGUCAGGACUAUCUUCAAAAUCUGAGAUUGGGUUUUGAAAGACAGCAGUCUUUGUUUUGGAGAGAUAAUGGGAACUGCAGAUGCUGGAGAAUGCGAGAUAACAACGUGUGGAGCUGGAUGAAGACAGCAGGCCAAGCAGCAUCUGAGGAGCACAAAAGCUGACGUUUCGGGCCGAGAAUCUUCUUCAGAAAAUGGGGAGGGGGUGCGGGUUCUGAAAUAAAUAGGGAGAGAGGGGGAGGCGGAUGGAAGAUGGAUGGAGGAGAAGAUAGGUGGAGAGGAGAGUAUGGGUAGGGAGGCAGGGAGGGGAUAGGUCAGUCUGGGGAGGCCGGACAGGUCAAGGGAGCGGGAUGAGGGGAAAUAGGGGUGCGGUAUGAGGUGGGAGGGGCGAUGGGUGAGAGGAAGAAUAGGUUAGGGAGGCGGGGACGAGCUGGGCUGGUUUUGGGAUGCAGUGGCAGGAAAGGAGAUUUGGAAGCUUGUGAAAUCCACACUGAUAGCAUUGGGCUGCAGGGUUCCCAAGCAGAAUAUGAUUUGCUGUUCCUGCAACCUUGGGGUGGCGUCAUUAUGGCACUGCAGGAGGCCCAGGUUGGACAUGUCCUCUCGGGAAUGGGAGGGGGAGUUGAAAUGGUUAGUGACUGGGAGGUGCAGUUGUUUCUUGCAAACUGAGCGUAGGUGUUCUGAAAAGCGGUCCCCAAGCCUCUGCAUCGUUUCCCCAAUGUAGAGGAAGCCACAACGGGGACAGCGGAUGUUUUGGAUAUUUCUGAAGCAUUGAUUUUCAUUCAGAGUUGGUUGGAUUUUGCUGAAGCAAUAGACGUAACUCACUAUGACGUAGACAAUGUCAGAGUUAAUGUUUCGCGUCCUGUGACCCUUCCUCAGAUCUCACUCUUCACUGAUGCUGCCAGACCUGCUGAGCUUUUCCAGCAAGUUCUGCUUUUGUUGCUGAUUUACAGUGCCCACAGUUCUUUUGUUUUUUACGACACAGAAAAAACUUGAUCUCUGCAGGAAGCAUGAUGCUGCAUUCUCCAACUUUGCUGCCUUUUUGAAAUAUAAUAUUGUCUUUUUAGGACAGAAGUGGCUUUUUUUGUUUGUUUUAACUUCGGCACAUACUUUCUAUGCAGGUGAAAAGUCUACACCUUUUCAGUUCACUGCAGUGCUGCAUAAUGAAGACUUGGAACAAUUUUUUUUUAUAAAGUAGAAAAUCAGUGUGGUUCGUUUUCCAAAAUGUGAUUUGUAAGUGCAACACUUAACAGUGUGUUCAUCAAACUAUUGUUUCCUUUGAUCUUUGUGUUGCAGAAAUUUCUAGAAUCAUUUCAUAUAUAUUUUUCUUGAUAUAUUUUAGCAGCUUUCCUGGAGCAAAUCUGUUUUCCUUCGGAUGAGACGACUUUCAGACAUACUCCCUUUAUUUAAUUGCGGUAAAAUGAGGAGGAUUUUUAUUCACUGAGACACACAUGACUAUAUGUUGAAAGCAUUGGAAAAAGCGUUCUGUUCGGACUGUCAUGUUAUCUGGUGUUUGUACCAGGCUUUCCGAUGAAAUGCAAGUGAUUAAGGAUGCUACUGAUGCCACAUGUUAUUACAAGAAGAAAUGAACAUACAAGUAAGGAUUUUAUGCCACAUUUAUACAUAGCAUGGGCCAUGCAGCAUGGAUGCAGUGACUGAGUGAAAUGGGAUGCAGUGACUGAGUGAAAUGGGAUGCAGUGACUGAGUGAAAUGGGAUGCAGUGACUGAGUGAAAUGGGAUGCAGUGACUGAGUGAAAUGGGAUGCAGUGACUGAGUGAAAUGGGACGCAGUGACUGAGUGAAAUGCUCACAGCGAAUUGCCCCCUCCAUCCUGACCCGCUCACAGCGACUUGCCCCUGCAGUCCUGACCUGCUCACAGCGACUUCUCUCUGCAGACCUGACCCACUCACAGCGACUCGCCCCUUCAGUCCUGUCCCAAUCACAAGGACUUGCCCUCUCCGUCCUUACCCGCUCACAGUGACUUGCCCCUGCAGUCCUGACCCCCUCACAGUGACCUGCCCCCUCACUCCUGACCCGAUCUACAUUGAGGAAACCAAGCAGAGGCUUGGGGACCGCUUUGCAGAACACCUCCACUCGGUUCGCAACAAACAACUGCACUUCCCAGUCGCGAACCAUUUUAACUCCCACUCCCAUUCCUUAGACGACAUGUCCAUCAUGGGCCUCCUGCAGUGCCACAAUAAUGCCACCCGAAGGUUGCAAGAACAGCAACUGAUAAUCCGCUUGGGGACCCUGCAACCCAAUGGUAUCCAUGUGGACUUCACCAGCUUCAAAAUCUCCCCUUCCCCAACUGCAUCCCAAAACCAGCCCAGUUCUUCCCCUCCCCCGACUGCAUCACAAAACCAGCCCAGCUGUUCCCUUCCCCCGACUGCAUCCCAAAACCAGCCCAGCCUGUCUCCGCCUCCCUAACAUGUUGUUCCUCUCACCCAUCCCUUCCUCCCACCUCAAGCCACGCCUCAUCCUGCCUCCUUGACCUGCCUGUCUUCCCUGGACUGACCUAUGCCCUCCCUACCUCCUCACCUGUACUCUCCUCCCUACCUAUCUUGUUUUCUCUCCAUCUUCGGUCCGCAUCCCCCCCCUCCCUAUUUAUUCCAGUUCCCUCUCCCAUCCCCCUCUCUGAUGAAGGGUCUAGGCCCAAAAUGUCAGCUUUUGUGCUCCUGAGAUGCUGCUUGGCCUGCUGUGUUCAUCCAGCUCCACACUUUGUUAUGUUGGAUUCUCCAGCAUCUGCAGUUCCCAUUAUCAGUGGCAUUUUCCUCUUCAUCAAAGUUUGUGCAAAAGCAACACGAUAUGGGGCGGCACGGUGGCUCAGCGGUUAGCACUGCAGCCUCACAGCACUGGGGACCCAGAUUCAAUUCCAGCCUCAGGCAACUGUCUGUGUGGAAUUUGCACCUUGUCCCUGUGUCUGCAUGGGUUUCCACCAGGUGCUCCGGCCUCCUCCCACAGUCCAAAGAUGUGCACGCUAGGUGGAUUGGCCAUGCUAAAUUGCCCGUAGUGUUCAGGGGCGUGGGUCUGGGUGGGAUGCUCCAAGGUUUGGUGUGCACUUGUUGGGCCAAAGGGCCUGUAUCCACACUGUAGGGAAUCUAAACAAACCUGUUCCCACAUCUCCAUGUUAUAACCCUGCUGAUCACUGCACACAGAGAUGUUUGAGAACAAAAGGAUAACAAUAAUAUUCAAACCUAGUGCUGGAGAUGUAUUUUAAAUACACGGAGGCCAGUGUCGAUCUCCAAUUCAACUUUUAUUUACAAAUGAACUGUCUUCAACUUUAGCACUGCCUCAUUCAGAGAUAGUUGCCAGGGUGUCAGCAUCUCUCAUGCUCACACUUAUCUGUCAGCCAGGGCUCCCUGAUUUGGGCUGUUAAUAUGGAACAAUCGGGCAACUCAUAUUCUGUGAGGUUCAACUGGCCGACCUGGUCACAAACCAGCGCGGUGUGUUCAUCGAAAAUCAAACGUACUAGAAAGAUACCAUUCCAUACCAGUGUAAAGGAAGGCAUGAGGCUAAACUGGGGAGGGAAGGGAACUGCUUAUUGGGGGUGGCCCAGAGAGUAAAAGAAAAUCGAAUGGGAAGAAGACCAUUUGAGACUGAGGGAGAGAGAUGUAAUUGCCUGAAUGAGGCAUUCCAAUUGCGAAAUGGAUUUUUGUGUAUACACCAUGUUCAGUUUCCCCGAUCUUCAUCUGUACUCCUCUUUAAAUCAUUAGUAUCUGAAAUUUCUGUAUCAUUUCCAAAUGUUCUGUCUCUAAUGUUAUGCUGUUGGAAUUGGUUGAACUGCAGAGAGAUUAUUUAUUUGCACAAAUGUGUUCAGUGAAAUGAGUUGCAUGCUAUAUAUGUAUUAUUCUUCCUGAUUCUAUUGUUUGCAUACAAAUUAAAGUUAGUUCCACUUUUGAACAACAAA